AGUUAUUCUGCAUCUAUAGAGACAAGGAAAAGUAGUGAGUAUGUAACAUAAAUGACUUUUGUGAAUUCAUAUUUUGGGGAGGGGUUCAAACUAUUACAGUAGAGUUCUUAUAGUUAAUGGCAUGUGCUUCCUGAGAAUGUUUUCAAGUUUGUCUAUAAAUGUUGCUUGUGAUUUAAGUCUCACACACGAGAAGUGAUUAUUAUGUGAGGAAGUUCCAACCAACAAAGAGAAGAGACUCCAUGUAGAGCUAAGUCAAUAUGAAGAGAGAGAUUGUCCAGUCUGCAUCCAACUCAUCUCUGCUAUUUCAGCUCUAGCUACCAUCUGAAUAAUUACGUGAGAUUUCCUGUGCCAGAAAUUUACAUGAAUCCUUGCUCAAAUCCUGACAUGAAAAACCAUGAA
rnacentral:lncRNA from 1 species